GCGAGCGUAGCUCAACUGGUUAGAGCACCAAGCUUAUACCUUGGGGGUUCCUGGUUCGAGUCCAGGCGCUCGCA
rnacentral:tRNA from 7 species